rnacentral:rRNA from 1 species
AGUGGAUGGGGAGCAACCUAGUUGUGCGUGUGUAAAGGUAGUGCCAAGAAAAGCGGUGAUCAUGAUGAAAAUCAAUUCCCGGUACCCGAAACCGACACAGGUGGGCAAGUAGAGAAUACUAAGGGGCGCGAGGUAACUCUCUCCAAGGAACUCGGCAAAAUGACCCCGUAACUUAGGGAGAAGGGGUGCCACCGAGAGGUGGUCGCAGUGAAGAGGCCCAGGCGACUGUUUAGCAAAAACAUAGGUCUCUGCAAACUCGAAAGAGGAGGUAUAGGGGCUGACGCCUGCCCAGUGCCGGAAGGUUAAAGAAGUUGGUCAGUCUUAGGAUAAAGCUAGCGACUGAAGCCCCGGUGAACGGCGGCCGUAACUAUAACUUCCUAAGGUAGCGAAAUUCCUUGUCGGGUAAGUUCCGACCCGCACGAAAGGCGUAACGAUCUGGGCGCUGUCUCGGAGAGAGGCUCGGCGAAAUAGGAUUGUCUGUGAAGAUACGGACUACCUGCAUUUGGACAGAAAGACCCUAUGAAGCUUUACUAUAGCUUGGAAUUGUGUUCGGGCUUCCUGUGCGCGGGAUAGGUGGGAGGCGAAGAAGGUAUUCUUGUGGGGAUACUGGAGCCAACGGUGAGAUACCACUCUCAGGAGGCUAGAAUUCUAACUUAAUUAAGGACAGUUUCAGGUGGGUAGUUUGACUGGGGCGGUCGCCUCCAAAAAGGUAACGGAGGCGUACAAAGGUUCCCUCAGACUGGUUGGAAAUCAGUCGCAGAGUGCAAAGGCAGAAGGGAGCUUGACUGCGAGAAGUACAGUUCGAGCAGGGUGGAAACACGGUCUUAGUGAUCCGACGGUGCUGUGUGGAAGGGCCGCCGCUCAACGGAUAAAAGUUACUCUAGGAUAACAGGCUGAUCUCCCCCAAGAGUUCACAUCGACGGGGAGGUUUGGCACCUCGAUGUCGGCUCAUCGCAACCUGGGGCGGAAGUACGUCCCAAGGGUUGGGCUGUUCGCCCAUUAAAGCGGUACGUGAGCUGGGUUCAGAACGUCGUGAGACAGUUCGGUCCAUAUCCGAUGUAGGCGUGAGAAUAUUGAGAGGAGCCUUCCUUAGUACGAGAGGACCGGGAAGGACGCACCGCUGGUGUACCUGUUAUGAUGCCAAUUGUAAACGCAGGGUAGCCAAGUGCGGAGAGGAUAACCGCUGAAAGCAUCUAAGUGGGAAGCCCACCUCAAGAUGAGUAUUCUGGUGUAAGGUCACGGGAAGACGACCCGUAAAUAGGCACGAGGUGGAAGUGCAGAGAUGUAUGAAGCCGAAGUGUACUAAUAGACCGUCGGCUUGACC